rnacentral:rRNA from 1 species
AUGAGUAAACGUUCAGUUUCCACACGGGUCUCAUGGCCAGGCCAGACCACUUCUCCGGAUUCUAAGGGCCACCUUUUUGAAGCAGCACUCCUGGCUUGGACUCUGGUGCGUAUCAUAUUCAUACGUAGUACACAUGCGUACCUUCCUCUCGCUGUCGCCGGCAAGCAAAAAGGUUUCUCGAUCGGUAUGGAGUUGGGCAACAAAGACGUCCAAAUCCAAAUGGCCAGCCAGCUGAGCGAGCAGUCGUCCAGAGAAGACCUCCCGUCGCUGCUCAUCCAGGUUCCGUCGCGGACUAUCGCCGGCUUCGACUGCGUCGGCCGGGACGCCGUCACCCCCGCCGCCCUGAACGAGCAGAACAGCAAGGACACUGUCAUUAGCAUCCAGGCGCCGGCGACCCCACCACUAGUUGCCCCUGUGCGCGCGUACGACGACACGCAGAUACCCUACUCCCUUUCCCUCAGCAUGCCGGCGUCGCCGUCGGGGCUCCACUUCUCGCAGUUCAGGGCGGCGUCCGUGCGCCGCAACGAGGCGCACGCGGCGGCGGCGCCCUCCGACACCAAGCAGGUGGAGGUGCAGUCACCGCGGCUGCUGCAGCAGACGCGGUUCCACUCGCAGCCGAUCCUCCAUGCGUCCCAGAUCAACGACGGGGCGCGCAGGGCCGAAGGCACGCGCGACAAGAGGUUCGAUCCGUUCAAGACCUUCUCCGGCCGGCUUGAGCGGCAGCUCUCCAACCUGCGCGGCCGGCCGCUGGACCCCAUGGACCUCGGCUCCCACCAUUCCAAGAUCUCCGAGGAGACCGACCAGGUUCCGGGCACCGACCGCUACUUCGACGCCCUGGAAGGCCCCGAGCUCGACACCCUCAGGGCCACGGAGGUGGCGGUGCUGCCGAACGACGAGCAGUGGCCGUUCCUGCUGCGGUUCCCGAUCAGCGCCUUCGGGAUGGUCCUGGGCGUGAGCAGCCAGGCGAUCCUGUGGAAGACGCUGGCGACGGCGCCGCCGACGGUGUUCCUGCACGUGAGCCUCGCGGUGGCCCACGCGCUGUGGUACAUCUCGCUGGCGCUGAUGGGCCUGGUGUCCUGCAUCUACCUGCUCAAGAUCGUCUUCUACUUCGAGGCGGUCCGGCGCGAGUUCCACCACCCUAUACGCGCCAACUUCUUCUUCGCGCCAUGGAUCGCCUGCCUCUUCCUGGUGCAGGGCGCCCCGCGGGAGCUGGCCCAGGUGCACCACGGCGUCUGGUACAUGCUCAUGGCGCCCAUCUUCUGCCUGGAGCUCAAGAUCUACGGCCAGUGGAUGUCCGGGGGCCAGCGCCGGCUCUCCAAGGUGGCCAACCCGUCCAACCACCUCUCCAUCGUCGGCAACUUUGUCGGCGCGCUGCUGGGGGCCAAAAUGGGCAUCCGCGAGGGCCCCAUCUUCUUCUUCGCCGUCGGGCUCGCGCACUACAUUGUCCUGUUCGUCACGCUCUACCAGCGGCUCCCCACCAACGUCACGCUCCCCAAGGAGCUCCACCCGGUCUUCUUCCUCUUCGUCGCCGCCCCCAGCGUCGCCUCCAUGGCCUGGGCCAAGAUCAACGGCGAGUUCGACAACGGCGCCCGGAUUGCCUAUUUCAUUGCGCUCUUCCUCUACAUGUCACUGGCGGUGCGGAUCAACUUCUUCAGAGGGUUCCGGUUCUCGCUGGCGUGGUGGGCGUACACGUUCCCGAUGACCGGCGCGUCGAUCGCGACCAUAACGUACGCGACGGAGGUGACCAACGUGCUUACGCGGACGCUGUCCAUCGGCCUCUCGGGCAUUGCCACCGUCACGGUCGCCGGCCUGCUGGUGACCACCAUGUUCCACGCCUUCGUGCUCAGGGACCUCUUCCCCAACGACGUCUCCAUCGCCAUCACCCGGAGGAAGCCCAAGUUCAGCAAGAUCCUCGCGCACUUCCGCUCCUCCAGCUCCGACAUGAAGGAGCUCGUGCUCUCCGUCUCCAAGUCGCCCAACGCCGACUCCGAUUCCUCGGUCACGGAGACCGAUCCGUCCGUCUCCAAAGGCAAAGCCGAGCCGUAG